ensembl:lncRNA
UUUUAUUGAAAUGCACUGCAGAUAUGAGUGAAAUUGUGUAAAGUAACUCCAUCACACUGUAUAAAGCUAUGAUAAAUUUUUUGAUAUUUUUACUGAAAACAAGACAAAAAUACCAAGUAAUUUUUUGCAGUGUGACUCCAUUAAAUGUGUGUGUGUGUGUGUGUGUGUGUGUGUGUGUGUGUGUGUGUGUGUGUGUGUGUGUAUUAAACAUGAACGGGCCAAAACGGACAUGGCAGCAGGUCAAAAUCAAAUACAAGAACAUUCUGCAGAAUGCAGUGAAAAAGAAUACCCACAGACAAGGCACGGGUGGUGGGUCACCAAAGGCUGACCUUACCCCAGCAGAGGACAUGGCCUUGGAGCUAAAUAAAGGCAGGCCCGUCUUAGAGGGGAUCCCUGGGGGGAAAGAGACGAGCAUAGGUUCCUCCCAAGAUGCCACCCGCUUCAUUCAAGUGUCUGGCAGCACUGUGUUCCUGUUAGAGCCACCAGCACAAGCACCAGACGAUGCUGAUCCAGUGAGUACUCCAUCAAAGGCAUACUGUAGGCCUGGCAUGUCUUGUCUACUAGCUUCAAUAUGAAUCCGAUUAAAUGUGAUAGGGUGAAGGCCCCAGUGCAGCAGCAACAGCACAUGAUGGAGACGAUGAUGAGGAGGAGACCAUCUCUCUGGAUUCCAGAAGGCAUGAGGACCCAGAUGCUAUACAGUGGGAAAACCAGCCUGGCAACAUAAGCUCACAAGCUAUCAGAAAGUUGUAUGGCAACCACCUCCGGCGCCAAAUAGAACUGGCAGACAUAGACAUUCAGUACAAGAAGAAAAAGAUGGAAAAUCUUGCACUGGAGUUCGAAAUAAAAAAGAGGACAAUUAGGAAACUGGACCUUGAAAUAAAAAAACUUGAGAGGGAGGUGAGAUAUGCCUUCAAU